rnacentral:rRNA from 1 species
UACGAAGGGGGCUAGCGUUGCUCGGAAUCACUGGGCGUAAAGGGUGCGUAGGCGGGUCUUUAAGUCAGGGGUGAAAUCCUGGAGCUCAACUCCAGAACUGCCUUUGAUACUGAGGAUCUUGAGUUCGGGAGAGGUGAGUGGAACUGCGAGUGUAGAGGUGAAAUUCGUAGAUAUUCGGAAGAACACCAGUGGCGAAGGCGGCUCACUGGCCCGUUACCGACGCUCAGGCGCGACAGCGUGGGGAGCAAACAGGG